rnacentral:rRNA from 1 species
AUACGGAGGAUGCGAGCGUUAUCCGGAUUUAUUGGGUUUAAAGGGAGCGUAGGCGGGAGCUUAAGUCAGCGGUUAAAUGGUGCGGCUCAACCGUGCCCUGCCGUUGAAACUGGGUUUCUUGAGAGUGCAAGAGGCGGAUGGAAUUCAUGGUGUAGCGGGGAAAUGCUUAGAUAUCAUGAAGAACUCCGAUUGCGAAGGCAGUCCGCUGGGGCACGUAUGACGCUGAUGCUCGAAGUGGCGGGAAGCAAACAGGAUUAGAUACCCUGGUAGCCCGCACGGUAAACGAUGAUUACCCGCUGUCGGCGGCAGACAGUCGGCGGCCAAGCGAAAGCGAUAAGUAAUCCACCUGGGGAGUACGCCGGCAACGGUGAAACUCAAAUGAAUUGGCGGG